GAUGAACGCUGGCGGCGUGCUUAACACAUGCAAGUCGAACGGAAAGGCUCCUGCUUGCAGGGGUACUCGAGUGGCGAACGGGUGAGUAACACGUGGGUGAUCUGCCCUGCACUUCGGGAUAAGCCUGGGAGACUGGGUCUAAUACCGGAUAGGACCACAUUUUGGAUGGUGUGGUGGAAAGAUUUUCGGUGUGGGAUGAGCUCGCGGCCUAUCAGCUUGUUGGUGGGGUAAUGGCCUAUCGAGGCGUCGACGGAUAGCCGGCCUGAGAGUGUGUACGGCCACAAUGAAACUGGGAUACGGCCCAGACUCCUACGGGAGGCAGCAGUGGGGAAUAUUGCGCAAUGGGCGCAAGCCUGAUGCAGCGACGCCGCGUGGGGGAUGACGGCCUUCGGGUUGUAAACUCCUUUCGCUAGGGACGAAGCGCAAGUGACGGUACCUGGAGAAGAAGCACCGGCUAACUACGUG
rnacentral:rRNA from 1 species